GUCCACGCCGUAAACUAUGGGUGCUAGCCGUCGGAUAGCUUGCUAUUCGGUGGCGCAGCUAACGCAUUAAGCACCCCGCCUGGGGAGUACGGCCGCAAGGUUAAAACUCAAAGGAAUUGACGGGGGCCCCGCACAAGCGGUGGAGCAUGUGGUUUAAUUCGACGCAACGCGAAGAACCUUACCAGCUCUUGACAUUUCCUGACUGGUUCCAGAGAUGGGAUCGUCCCAGCAAUGGGCAGGAGGACAGGUGCUGCAUGGCUGUCGU
rnacentral:rRNA from 1 species